rnacentral:misc_RNA from 1 species
UACGGAGGGGGUUAGCGUUGUUCGGAAUUACUGGGCGUAAAGCGCGCGUAGGCGGACUAUUAAGUCAGAGGUGAAAUCCCGGGGCUCAACCCCGGAACUGCCUUUGAUACUGGUAGUCUUGAGUUCGAGAGAGGUGAGUGGAAUUGCGAGUGUAGAGGUGAAAUUCGUAGAUAUUCGCAGGAACACCAGUGGCGAAGGCGGCUCACUGGCUCGAUACUGACGCUGAGGGAUGAAAGCUGGGGGAGCAAACCGG